UUUAGAUCUCACAGAAGUGUAUGAUAGAUUUUAGUACAAUCUAUUUUUAUUUGAAAAGGAAUGAAUAUAAAAAAUUAAUUUUCUUCUGUUAUCCUCUAUCCUCGAGGUUUCUAAACAUGGAAAAUAUAUGUAUGCCGAAGAUGCCUUGUGAGCACUACUAAUUUCUAUCCCUGUUGAUUAUACCCAUUUUUAAAGACAAUAAAAUUAAAUUUUUUUAAGUUUUUAGAAAGUUGGUUGGAAAUGUAGACUCUCAGGCUCCAUUCUCUUUCCAGUACCCCAGGAAGGAGAGAGCACCUGGGCUGAAGUAGAUGCAGAAUCAAUGGAGAAGGAAGCAGGGGUACAGGUCUGUGAUUCAUCAGUCUUACGCAACACACAAUGCUCACAACACUUCCCUCUCCAGUGUCCAUCACCCGGCUACCCCUUCCUCCUACUCCCUCCCCUCCAGCACCCCUCAGUUUGUUUCCUGAGACUAAGAGUCUCUUAUGUUUGUCUUGCUCUCUGGUUUUCUCUUGUUUCAUUUUUAACUCUCUUCCCUUAUGAUCCUCUGCCUUAUUUUUUAAAUUCUGCAUAUCAAUGAGAUGAUUAUUUUCUUUCUCUGAUUGACUUAUUUCGCUUAAGGUAAUACCCUCUAGUUCCAUCCACGUCGUUGCAAAUGGCAAGAUUUCAUUUUUUGAUGGUUGCAUAAUAUUCUGUUGUAUAUAUUUAUACCACAUCUUCCUUAUCCAUUCAUCUAUCAAUGGACAUCUUGGGCUCUUUUCCAUAGUUAGGCUACUGUGGACAUUGCUGCUAUAAAUGUUGGGGUACAGGUGCCCCCUUAGAUCACUACAUUUGCAUCUUUGGGAUAAACACCCUGUAGUGCAAUUGCUGGGUCAUAGGGUAUCUCUAUUUUCAACUUUUUGAGGAACCUCCAUGCUGUUUUCCAGAGUGGCUGCACCAACAUUGUAGGAGGGUUCCCCUUUCUCUGCAUCCUCACCAACAUCUGUGGUUUCCUGACUUGUUAAUUUUAGCCAUUCUGACUGGUGUGAGGUGGUAUCUCAUUGCUGUUUUGAUUUGUACUUCCCUGAUGCCAAGUAGGUUAUUUGCCAACUUUGGGGACAGAAUUUACCUAAUGGGUGUCCUCUUCUCCGCAGGAGAGUAGAAUUAAUGUAUGAAUUAGCAGGCUUGAGUAAGUCUAACAAAGCCAUAUUCAUUGUUGAGAUAAAUGUAUUUACUAAGAUAAGGAUUAUUUUCCUCAUAUGAUAUCUACAAACUUAUUUAAAAAAAAAAACAAAAAGAGCCAUAGAUAACUAAUAAUGUUGAUUAAACCACUUAUAAAAAUGGUAAUUUCACAGCAAAGAAGAGAGAUGUUCUCAGUAAAUAUCUAGAAAGGCUGUAGAUAAAUGUUGAGCCCAUAUAUAUUUAGUCAGCUGUGUGAUUUAGGGAGUGAGCCCUGAUCUGAGCCCAUCCCUACCUCUAACUUCAGAUUCUUAAACUCUCUGAGUCUCUAGGUUUCUAAGAUGUAAACUUGCUGUAAUAAUGCUUACCUUAAGGAUAGUUGGCAGUAUAAUCGGCUUGUAGAAAAUGACAUCCAGGGGCGCCUGGGUGGCUCAGCUGGUUAAGCCGCUGCCUUCGGCUCAGGUCAUGGACUCGGAGUCCUGGGAUCGAGCCCCGCAUCGGGCUUUCUGCUCGGCAGGGAGCCUGCUUCCUCCUCUCUGCCUGCCUCUCUGCCUGCUUGUGAUCUCUCUCAAUAAAUCUCUCUCAAAUAAAUAAAUAAAAUCUUAAAAAAAAAAAAAGAAAAGAAAAUGACAUCCAUUAUUUCCAAGUUCCUGUCUUAAUCCUCACUGUAAAACUCAUGAAGCAACAUACUUUUAUUGUUCCUGUAAUUCAUUAACUAAAGAAGCUAUAGAUUUGAGUAAAUAUGGAAGUACUCAUAUGCUUUCUGAAAUAAGUUAUAAACCUCCCAUCUUCUUAGGCCAAAACUAUUCUUGAUGUAUUUGUGAGCUAAGAUCUGUGAAUUAGAAAUACACAAUGAUGAGCAAAAUAGAGUGCCCUUCCUCAAGUUCAGGGAGGGUUCAUUGGAGGAGUCAGUGCAGAGAUGUUGUGGGAAUGGUAGUCCCAGAGCAUAGGUGGGAGGGAGCUCAGCAGCCUGAUUGAAAUGACUCAGGGGCCUGGGAGUGAUUGGUAAAGGUUUCCCAAGGAAGCAGCAUCUUGCGUGCGUCUUCAGAGUUAGAUCUAAAGCAAGUACGUUUGCAACUUUAAGAGAGUCUUAGUAAUUUAGGUGCCCAGUGUUUUUCUGUUGUUUUCUGUUCUAUUUUCUAUUUCUAUGUUUUCUAUUACCAUUAUCUGUUUUUUAAAAAUAUAUUUACGAUAAAUUAUUGACCUAUGAAAAAAGUAUAAAGAAAUAAAACUAUCCAUAAUCCCACCUUCCAGAGAUGACAUUUCACUUUUCAUGUAUUUUACUUUUCAUUUCAAAGUUCAUACUUUGAUUUACAGAAAUUAAAAUCAUGUAGUAUAUGCCCACUUACAAGUUCUUUUACUUAACAGGAAAAUGUUGGUAGUUUCUAUGUUAUUAUUUUAAAAUGUGUUUUUAAUAGCUUUGUAGAAGUCUUUAUAUGGCCAGGCUAUAAUAUGUUUAACCAUUACCAGUGUAGACUAUCAGUGUAUGUAUUUGUCUUCUGUUGCUGCUGCAAAGAUCCCAAGUUUGUGGCUUAAAAAAAAAAAAAAAAAUUAAAAACCCACAAUUUUUUAAAAUCUUAUAAUCCUGUAUGUCAGAAAUCUGACAGGUGUGACAGGCUGAAAUCAAGAUGUCGGCGGGACUGCAUUCCAUUCUGUAAUCUCUAGGGGAGAGUUUAUUGCCUUGCCUGUUCAGCUUCUAAAGGCAUCCCCUGGCUCAUGCCUCCACCCCCAAAUACAUCUUCAGGCCAGCGCAGUGGUGAGUUGAGUCCUCACAUCACAUGGCUGACCUUCAUAGUCCCAUCUCCCUCCGACUCUGUUCUGCCUCCCUAUUUCACUUUUGUCAGACUUUGGAAUAUGCUGGGCCCACCUGAGUAGCCCAUGCUAAUCUCCCUGUCUCAGAGUCAACUGAUUAGCAACCUUAAUUCCAAAUCUACAAUGUCAGUUUUCCUUUGCUGUGUAAAAUAACAAAGUCACAGAGUCUGGGGAUUAGGACGUGGACGUCUUUGGGAAGCCAUUACGUUGCCAGCCACAAUGUGUUUUUUCUUUUUUUUUUUCAGCUUUACAAAUAUAAAUUGCAUAAUAAUGAUGUUCUAGUGAACUUCUACUAAAAUGAAUUUUUAGUUACAUCUGUUUUUUUAAAGGUUAAAUAGAUGGCCACCUUUUUCCUGUAAAUUGAAUAAUCUGCUUUUUUUAUUACACAGAACUCCAGAGUAUCAUAUAAAUAUAUGUGUGUGUAUAUAUAUAUUACACACUGGUAAUUAUAAAAUAUGGAGUAACUUGUUAGAGAGUAAGACUGUACGUACUUGUAGUACAUUGCUAUUUCUCAUUUUUCUCAUUCGAUGUAAAAACACAGGAACCUGCAAAUACAUAAAUGCUGAGAGAAAUACAUCACACCCUGAGAGAAUGAAGUAGUCAUUUAGAAAUACAUAAUAAAAAAUCUAGCAACAAAUACGAAAUUGCUAAUUCAGAUGUCGAUUUUGAAUUGGUGAUAUACAAAUGAUCUGCUGAAAGACAGGCUAGGCCUAACAUACUUUAGAAUGAAUUGGUUUGCUUUUACCAAGAAAAGGAACAAUUGUUUGUAAAUAUUUCUAAAACCACAGUAUCACAGCCAAGUUAUAUCAUUCAGUAGGGAGAGUUUUCAUUUUAAUUAAUCCUUAUUUGUGUUUUGAGAAGUAAACACUUCAUUUAGGGAAAAAACUAAGUCAGUAUUUGUGGCUAUUUGAAGUCCUGGAAUCAUUUUAAUUUUUUUUUUUCAUAUAGAAACAGAUCAUAGCCAUAGAGUUAGGAUGUAAAGUUAAGUCCCAUCAGUUAGUAAUAUCAUACAAUUUUUAUUCUUAGGAAUUCUAAAUAGAAGACAAAAUAUUUGUAUUUUCAAAAGGAUCUCUAUGGUGACUGACUACUGUGCUGGGGUAUUCUGUGAACAUAUUUUUGAAGUAUGAGCGACGAAUGAUCCCCC
rnacentral:lncRNA from 1 species